UAACUUAUGCAAUAUUUCUGACUCA
rnacentral:miRNA from 1 species